CGUGCAGGCGGUUGAUUAAGUUGGUUGUUAAAUUCCCUGGCUUAACUGGGGUCCAGCAAUCAAUACUGGUCGACUAGAGGGCAAGAGAGAGAAGUGGAAUUCUUGGAGUAGCGGUAAAAUGCAUAGAUCUCAAGAGGAACACCAGUUGCGAAGGCGACUUUUUGGCUUGUCCCUGACGCUGAAGCGCGAAAGCGUGGGGAGCAAACA
rnacentral:rRNA from 1 species